UCGUGCUAGGUGGGGCGUUAGCGGUGCCCUGUACUCGCAAUCCGCUAUAGCGAGGCUGAAACCCCCUGUCGAGGCAGUUCGUGUAUGACCGCUGAAGGCAGUAUUUAGACGUUGACAGCUUGGUCCCGCGCGGCGAGGCCUCGUGAACCCCGUCAGGACCGGAAGGUAGCAGCGGUAAGCGAUUCACCUUGGGUGCCGCGGGAACGCCGGGCUGGAGUCGGUCCUGCCAUUUACGUCAUAUGAGUCUGUCGACACUGGGGUGCACGG
rnacentral:SRP_RNA from 1 species